rnacentral:rRNA from 1 species
GGUGAGUAACGCGUGGGACGUACCAUUUGCUACGGAAUAACUCAGGGAAACUUGUGCUAAUACCGUAUGUGCCCGAAAGGGGAAAGAUUUAUCGGCAAAUGAUCGGCCCGCGUUGGAUUAGCUAGUUGGUGGGGUAAAGGCCUACCAAGGCGACGAUCCAUAGCUGGUCUGAGAGGAUGAUCAGCCACACUGGGACUGAGACACGGCCCAGACUCCUACGGGAGGCAGCAGUGGGGAAUAUUGGACAAUGGGCGCAAGCCUGAUCCAGCCAUGCCGCGUGAGUGAUGAAGGCCCUAGGGUUGUAAAGCUCUUUCACCGGUGAAGAUAAUGACGGUAACCGGAGAAGAAGCCCCGGCUAACUUCGUGCCAGCAGCCGCGGUAA